AUCAAUAAGAUAUACAAGUUGAGUUUUAAUCAAAUUAUCUUAAACAGUUGUUUUUAUCACAAUUCUGGUUAUGAUUUAGCUUUUAACAUAAAUAAUCAUAUUUCAGGGAGAUAAGCAAUUUUCUUUUAUAUCAAAUAAGAUUUUAUAUUUGACUUAUGAGAGAUAGUUCAAAAGAAUUAAUAUUCAUGCUUUUAAAAGAUUUUUAUGCUCAGAUUAAACAUGAUGUGUUAAAAUUAAUCAAUAGAAUUUGAGAUAAUUUUAUGGAAGGAUAUUAAUCAUUCAAUCAAGGAUACAAUGAUUAUACUUAAUGAAACACUUUAAAGAUCAGAUUUAUUGAUUUUAGAUUUUUAGAAUAGUCUUGAGAAUUACUUGUAAAGGAAAAACAAUCCAUUGUCAUAAAACUUUUUAAUAGAAUUUUUUAUUAUGAUCACGACACAUUAAUCAUUUAUGAUUAAAACAAUUAUGAUUUGAUUAUGAUUUAACAUAUGAUGCAUACAUGCGACUUAUAGAGCAAAUCAUAAUAUAUUUCAAAUAAUCAUAUAAGGAAUGAGUGAUAUAAUGAUAAAUUAUAUUCAUACCUUCAUAAAUAAUGAAAUAAGAUUUUAUAAGUAUUAUGCUCAAUAAAGUUUUAACAUUGGGAUGAAAUCAGCAUCAAACA
rnacentral:lncRNA from 1 species